rnacentral:rRNA from 1 species
AUUGAACGCUGGCGGCAGGCCUAACACAUGCAAGUCGAGCGAGCGGCGGACGGGUGAGUAAUGUCUGGGCAACUGCCUGAUGUAGGGGGAUAACUACUGUAAACGGUAGCUAAUACCGCAUACCAUCAGAUGUGCCCAGAUGGGAUUGGCUAGUAGGUGGGGUAACGGCUCACUUAGGCGACGAUCCCUAGCUGGUCUGAGAGGAUGACCAGCCAAGCUGGAACUGAGACACGGUCCAGAGUCCUACGGGAGGCAGCAGUGGGAAAUGUUGGACAGUGGGCGCAAGCCUGAUGCAGCAAUGCCGCGUGUGUGAAGAGGGCCUUCGGGUUGUAAAGCACUUUCAGCGGGGAGGCGUUACCCGCAGAAGAAGCACCGGCUAACUCCGUGCCAGCAGCCGCGGUAAUAC